AUGGUGUUUGGCCUAGAAGAAAAGGCGCUUGGCCCAAGCAGGGGCCCAGGAUGGUGCUUUAUAGUCAUGCUUCAGUUUAAUCAAAAAAAGUGCAUGACAUUAGGCCAGACAGCGGAUCAACUUAGCCUUUGCCCCCAACGUUCUCUUUCUCAGAAACCCGAGAACUUCAAGAAUAUGAAGGUUGCAAGUUCUGGUCUGCAAGUGGUGAGGUCUUGGGCAUAG